GCCGGGGUGGCGGAACUGGCAGACGCGGCGGACUUAAAAUCCGCUUCCGCCUCAGGCGGAUUGUGGGUUCGAGCCCCACCCCCGGCA
rnacentral:tRNA from 1 species